rnacentral:rRNA from 1 species
GACAGAGGGGGCAAGCGUUGCUCGGAAUUACUGGGCGUAAAGGGCGCGUAGGCGGGAUGGCAAGUCGGUCGUGAAAUCCCUCGGCUCAACUGAGGAUCGUCGAUCGAUACUGCCGUUCUUGAGGAUUGCAGAGGAGACUGGAAUUCCCGGUGUAGCGGUGAAAUGUGUAGAGAUCGGGAGGAACACCGGUGGCGAAGGCGGGAUCCUGGGCCAGUACUGACGCUGAGGAGCGAAAGCGUGGGGAGCAAACAGG